CAGUUCUUCCAAUUCGACACAGUUAUUUAUUUAUUUUUUUAAGGUCCAAACUCCUGUGCAGAGCAAGCAUCCAAAUGCUGUCAUCCUCUCAGCCCCAUGCUCUAGCUCAUUUUUCACACCACUGGAUUUAAUUUACUAUUAUCGUGCCUGGAAUGUGUUUGCAUCUGUAUUCUUGAGAGAUUGCUAUACAGCUCAUUUGAGCCUCACAAGAUUAAAACUUGGUAAGAAAGUAGACACGGAAGUGUGUCUCUGUCCAGUUCCACCUAAACUGUGCUGGCAGAAACUUUGGCUCCUGCUGCUUAGCUCCUUCAGCGACCUGCGAGUCUGUCUCACGAAAAGAUACCGACCGCCAUCUUGAAUUUCUAAGCACUAAACACGAAGAGAUGUGAGUUUCUCAAAAGGG
rnacentral:lncRNA from 1 species